rnacentral:rRNA from 1 species
AGGAUGAACGCUGGCGGCGUGCCUAACACAUGCAAGUCGAACGUCCUGUCUCGCAAGAGGCAGGGAGUGGCGGACGGGUGAGUACCACGUGGGUCAUCUACCGUGAGGUGAGGAAUACCGGCGAGAAAUCGCCGACAAGACCGCAUAGCCUCGGUGCAAGUCGAGGAAAGCUCUCUCGAGAGAGGGAGCGCCACACGAGGAGCCUGCGCCCGAUUAGCUAGCUGGUGGAGUAACGGUUCACCAGGGCGACGAUCGGUAGCUGGUCUGAGAGGACGAUCAGCCACACUGGGAUUGAGAACGGCCCAGACUCCUACGGGGGGCAGCAGUGAGGAAUUUUCGUCAAUGGGGGCAACCCUGAACGAGCAACGCCGCGUGCAGGAAGAAGGUUUUCGGAUCGUAAACUGCUUUUCUCGGGGAAGAGAACGGACGGUACCCGAGGAAUCAGCCCCGGCUAACUACGUGCCAGCAGCCGC